rnacentral:rRNA from 1 species
CCUAACACAUGCAAGUCGAACGGUAACAGGAAGCAGCUUGCUGCUUCGCUGACGAGUGGCGGACGGGUGAGUAAUGUCUGGGAAGCUGCCUGAUGGAGGGGGAUAACUACUGGAAACGGUAGCUAAUACCGCAUAAUGUCGCAAGACCAAAGAGGGGGACCUUCGGGCCUCUUGCCAUCGGAUGUGCCCAGAUGGGAUUAGCUUGUUGGUGGGGUAACGGCUCACCAAGGCGACGAUCCCUAGCUGGUCUGAGAGGAUGACCAGCCACACUGGAACUGAGACACGGUCCAGACUCCUACGGGAGGCAGCAGUGGGGAAUAUUGCACAAUGGGCGCAAGCCUGAUGCAGCCAUGCCGCGUGUAUGAAGAAGGCCUUCGGGUUGUAAAGACUUUCAGC